CUAAAAACAUCAUUUACAUAAUCGCAUCUGAAUAAUUCAAUUCUAAAAAUUAAUUCUUAUUUCUUAAGAAAGUGAUAACAGAGCGUGAUUAAAGGGCAAUGAUGAAAAAUAUCUUAAUAUAGAGUAGCAUGCCUAUGGACGUCUAUAAGCAUUGUUACAAGAUCAAUUAUUAUGAUAAACAUAUUAAAUUCAAAACUAAAAUUCAAAUUUUUCAACACGUAAAAGACAAAAUGAAAUAAUAAUGUAAGAAAAAUAAAGUCGCUCAAAAUUUUUGUCAAAAUCACUAUAAAGCUGGUAAAUGACAAGUUUUGGCAAAUGACAAAGUUUUUACACUGAAUUUUUUUUUUUACAAGUCGUCGUCAGGCACUCUAGAAAUUUUAAAUAACAGAUUCCCUUGUCAUUGUUAUAUAAUCAGGAACUGGAAGUUUUAUAUAAACCUGAUACACGAUGUUGUUGAAGACAUUUUGGAAUUACCUCAGCCAAGAUGUACUUCGUUGCAGCUGUUUUUGUUACAAGUACUUAAAGAUAGUUUAUAGAAACAACGUUAUCUUCAAAUUAUAUUUCGCAGACUUUGCACACCGUUUAGCAAGGUUCAAUUCAAUAAAAAAAAAAACUAUGUAAUUUUAUUAUUUUAUUAGACUUAAAUUGAUAAAUGAAGUUGA